UAAAUUAAUAAAAGAAUAAGAAUCAUAUAAUCCUCUCAAAAGAUGUGGAAAAAGCUUUUGAUAAAAUGUAGC